rnacentral:rRNA from 1 species
CGUUAAGCAUUCCACCUGGGGAGUACGCCGGCAACGGUGAAACUCAAAGGAAUUGACGGGGGCCCGCACAAGCGGAGGAACAUGUGGUUUAAUUCGAUGAUACGCGAGGAACCUUACCCGGGCUCAAACGCAGGAGGGAUGUUUUUGAAAGGAGGCAGCCAGCAAUGGUCUCCUGCGAGGUGCUGCAUGGUUGUCGUCAGCUCGUGCCGUGAGGUGUCGGCUUAAGUGCCAUAACGAGCGCAACCCCUACCUACAGUUGCCAUCGCGUGAUGGCGGGCACUCUGUGGGGACUGCCUGCGCAAGCAGUGAGGAAGGCGGGGAUGACGUCAAAUCAGCACGGCCCUUACGUCCGGGGCGACACACGUGUUACAAUGGCAGGUACAGCGGGAAGCCACCCGGCGACGGGGCGCGGAACCCGAAAACCUGUCUCAGUUCGGAUUGGAGUCUGCAACCCGACUCCAUGAAGCUGGAUUCGCUAGUAA